rnacentral:ncRNA from 1 species
UUAAAAACUAUGAUAGGGACGAGUAAAUAGUAUGGGAUUUGACAGAGAGUGGGGUAAGGUGAAAGCCCAUAAAUUGCCAGCUAUUGAAAAUCACCCUUGAGUUGCAGGCUGAAAAAAGUAAGCCGAGCCGGCGUAGCCGUUAUUCAUUAGAGUGACAAAUUUGGGUGGUACCGCGAGCAGACUUCGCCCCAUGG